rnacentral:rRNA from 1 species
UACGAAGGGGGCUAGCGUUGCUCGGAAUUACUGGGCGUAAAGGGCGCGUAGGCGGACAGUUUAGUCAGAGGUGAAAGCCCAGGGCUCAACCUUGGAAUUGCCUUUGAUACUGGCUGUCUUGAGUUCGGGAGAGGUGAGUGGAAUGCCGAGUGUAGAGGUGAAAUUCGUAGAUAUUCGGCGGAACACCAGUGGCGAAGGCGACUCACUGGCCCGAUACUGACGCUGAGGCGCGAAAGCGUGGGGAGCGAACGAGG